UACAGAGGGUGCAAGCGUUGUUCGGAAUUAUUGGGCGUAAAGCGCGUGUAGGCGGCUUUGCAAGUCGGGUGUGAAAGCCCUCAGCUCAACUGAGGAGGUGCGCCCGAAACUGCAGGACUUGAGGCUGGGAGGGGCUGGUGGAAUUCCCUGUGUAGCGGUGAAAUGCGUAGAGAUGGGGGAGAACACUCGUGGCGAAGGCGGCCAGCUAGACCAGUUCUGACGCUGAGGCGCGACAGCGUGGGUAGCAAACGGG
rnacentral:rRNA from 1 species